AUACACACACACACACACACGAUAGAAUACUACUCAGCCAUAAAAACGUAUGGAUUAAACGUAUUUUCAGUGACCUGAAUGAGAUUGAGACUAUUAUUCUAAGUGAAAUAACUCAGGAAUGGAAAACCAAGCAUCAUAUGUUCUCACUGAUAUGUGGGAGCUUAGCUAUGAGGAUGCAAAGGCAUAAAAAUGAUACAGUGGACUUUGGGAACUUGGGAAUGGUGUGGAAGGUGUUGAGGGAGAAAAGGCUACAAAUAUGGAGUAGUAUAUACUGCGUGGGGGAUGUGGGCACCAAAGUCUCACAAAUCACCGCUAAAGAACUCACUCAUGUAACCAAAUACCACCUAUAGCCCAAUAACUUAUGGAAAAAUUAAAAAAUUCCAUGCAAACUUAAAAAAAAAGAAAAAUCCCAAGGACUUUUUACCAUUAUGUUUUCACAAAAGAAAACAUUAAAGGAGGUUUUUCAUUCAAAAUAAAGAGGGAUUCCAGAAGCAGUUUUGGAAAUUGGAGAAUAAAGAAAAACAGAAUGGAUGAAUGCAUGCAUAGAUCUAAAUUUAUUUGGACUGUAUACAAGAAAAAUAACAUUACUAUAUUCUGUGUUCUAAAACACAUAUAAUUAAAAUAUAUGAAAAAUUCACAUAAAUCAGGAGAUAAGUAAAUUGAAUAAAAAUGUUUUAAGUUCCCUUAAUUGUUCAGAAAAUUUACAGAAUAUUUUUGUUAAUAGAUUAAGGGGUGCAUUAUUGAUGGUUGAUCCCCAAUCAGUACAUUGAAACACUAACUCCCUGUGUGAUAAUAUUAAGAGGUAGGGCCUUUGGGGAGCCUAAUUAAAUUAGAUGAGAUUAUGAAGGUGCACUUCCCAUGAUGAGACUAGUACCCUAAAGAAAUGGAGACACCAGAGCUUCCUGUUGUCCCACCGUGUGCAAAUACAGCAAGAAGACAGCCAUCUGCAAGCCAAGAGGAGAAUCCUUACCAGAACUCAACCUUGCUGGCACCCUGACCUCUAGCUUCCCACCCUGUGAGAAGUAAGUGUUUGUUUUUUCAGCUACCCAAUCUAUGAUAUCCACUUUAACAGAUUUUUAACUGAUGAAAAAUUAACACGUUCUCUGCUUUUUAAGAAGGAACUUAUUUAAGAAGGAAGUAAUUCAUUCCCUUUUCAAGAGGUAAAUUUAUGUUUUUGGCAAAUUUAUACAUCAUUAGAAACACUUUAAAAUAUUUAAUCAAAGAUGUUAUUUACUGAAGAUCAAAAUUAUAUAAGUUGUUGGGGGAACAGGAUAUUUACAUAGUGCAAAAGGACUAGUGGACAGAAUACUUGCCCAUUGUAAAUAGAAAACACAACUUUAUAUUGGAGAGGACUGGUGGUCAUAUUAACCAAGGGAUCAAAUUGGGAUUCACUACUUUUGGGAUAGAUGGACACAAUGUGUACCUCCUGUUGGAAUACAUGGCAUCACCUGUGAAAGAUUUUGCCAGAGGUGUUUAACCUGAAGGUAAUGAAGUGUUUAUACCAAAUUUCAUUUUACCAAAAAUAUUGAAGAUUGAGAAAAAGUUAAAUGACAAUGGGAUAUCACAGAAAAAAUUAUUUGGUAUGUUAAGCAAAACAACUGGCGCCAUUUCUUAAAAAUGUUGAUGUUGUAGAUCAUAGACUCAUAUUUCUGAGUGUAAUCUUAGACCAUGGGAGCCCAAUGCUCCCACGUCAACAACUUUAAAAAAUUCAAAAAUUAUGUUUUUGAAGAAAUUGGAAAGUUGUUAAAACAGUGGAUAUUGAAACAAUUGGAAUUCCAGAAAGGGUGACCUUGUAAUUGCCAUUUUGUUCCCUGAGGGUUAUUCACUGAUUCUGGUCAUGAACUGAUCAUGAGGUUUGUCUCACACAAAGAGACUCUAUUAAGUAAAUAGGACAUAAACAAAACUUUUAACAUCUCUUGCCUGAGAUGGAACAACAGAUUGGAAAAAUGAGCUGCUUUAUGUAGAUACAAUAUUAGUUAAUGAUAUGUCAAGCAGACAAAAAAGUACAGAAUAUUUUAGCAUGUUUCAUAAAUGCAAUAAAAUUCUUACUUGAAAACACUAUUUUUCUUCCAUGUUCUUUGUCAUUUCAAGAAUGUAAUAUAAGUAUAAUCAUAACCUUCCCCAGUGGUAGAGGUGGGGCCUUGUGGAAAGUGGGCCAUGGGGGAAAGAUUCCUUGUGAAUGGAUUUGUUAUGCCUUGGCAGCUUCCAUGUGGUGGUGUCUGCAGGUGUGCAGAAUGCAAGCAUGUGCAAGAAUGGUGGAGACUUGGUAGCUUCCACCUAGAUUUCAGAGGAUGUAUUAGAAAGUCUGAAUGUAAGAUAGCCUCUACUGUGCCUCUUCACAGCCUGUCUGUGGAGGGGUUCCAAUCCCACAUUUUCAUUUCCCUGAGGAGCCAACACACAGAGUUCCCACUAGGGCACUGCCUAGUGAAGCUGUGGGAAGAGGAUCACUUCCCUUUAGGCUUGAGAAUAAUUAAGCACCAGCAACUUGCAUCCUGAGCCUGGAAAAGCUGCAGGCACUCAAUUCUAACCCUGUGGUGAGAGCAACCAUAAGGGCUCCACCCUGUAAAGCCAUAGGAACAGAGCUGCCCAAGGCUUUGGUAACUCACCUUUUGCACCAGAGUGCUCUGGAUGUGGGACAUAGAGUCAAGGAUUCUAUUAGAGCUUUAAAGUUUAAUGUCUGCCCUGCUGAGUUUGGGACCUUUGUGGGACCUAUUGCCCCUUUUAUUUGGCCAAUUUCUCCCUUUUUGAAUGGGAAUGCUUACCCAAUGCCUGUACUACCAUUGUAUCAUGGGAGUAAAGAACUGAAAUACCUGGUUUUUUACUUUACAAACUCAUAGAUGGAAGUAACUUGCCUCGAAUCUCAGAUGAGACUGGACUUUGGACUUUUGAGUUGAUGCUGGAAUGAGUUAAAACUUGGGGACUAUUGGGAGUAGUCCCCCGCAGUGUGAGUUUGCACUGUGAAAAAGGCAUGAGAUUUGGGGAGGCCGGGGGUGGAAUAAUACAGUUUGGAUGUUUGUCCCCUCCAAAUCUCAUGCUGAAAUUUGAUCACCAGUGUUGGAGGUGAAGCCCAAUGAGAGGUGUUCUGG